UGCUCCCUCAGGAUAACAAACUUAGAGAGCUUGACUCCUGGUUCUGGAUCUUACAAGAAGAAGCUGGCCACCAGAGUUUAGGGCAGAAUCCAGGCCAGCCCCUGGGCCUUGAGUAAACCUGAAAGGAGUCUUCAGUCACACAGAUGAGCCCGCCUGGGCACAGCAACAUGCUACACACCUUGUCCCUGACAUCUCUAUGGGUCUGCUCCGGCUCCUGCACAUGUGUGAACCUUCCCAAGUAUGCUCCAAAGAAGUCAUUCCACCCUCAUUGCAAAGCUGCCCCCUGCUGGCUUCUCUGCCCAGAGUCAUCGGAUUAACCUACUUGUUUUGGCUGCUGUGGUGUGUCCCCAGUCGGCCCACCUUCCUGGUGGCAACAUGCCCAGGCCACAAACAGCCUGACCAGAGUCCUGAGCCAUGAACAUCUCUCCGGGUACCGCCUGAGCCAUGUGGGCUUAGGCCCCACCCAACUGUUCCUGGGCACAGUGCCAGGAUGGGGUGGGUCUGUGCAUCUCUGUGGCUUCUACACAAACAGAUGCAACAUGGGGGCGCCCCUGGCACAGAGAAAGGCACUUGUGGGAGAAGAGACUCGGGAAAACAUGUAACAUACUGCACACGUGUAGCAUCCCCGUGCCUAGGGACAUACAAUAUCGCAGCGAUUAACACCAGAAUAUGCAGUAAACAUGCCACGCUGCGGGGGUAUGUGUGUUGCUUCUACAUACUAGUUACCCAUAGCAGUCUACACACAUGUGGCACCUGUGAGCUUCUACACAUACAGUAUUCUUAAGGCACACGGAAAAAGCAGCAUGCAUUCAGGACCUGAGCGCAUGUCGAUGCAUAUGUGCAGCAUUUGCAUGCACCCAGCCAGG
ensembl:lncRNA